AAUAGAUACCCGGGUAGUCCACACAGUAAACGAUGAAUACUCGCUGUUUGCGAUAUACAGUAAGCGGCCAAGCGAAAGCAUUAAGUAUUCCACCUGGGGAGUACGCCGGCAACGGUGAAACUCAAAGGAAUUGACGGGGGCCCGCACAAGCGGAGGAACAUGUGGUUUAAUUCGAUGAUACGCGAGGAACCUUACCCGGGUUUAAAUUGCAGAUGAAUAUGUAGGAAACUAUAUUGCCAGCAAUGGCAUCUGUGAAGGUGCUGCAUGGUUGUCGUCAGCUCGUGCCGUGAGGUGUCGGCUUAAGUGCCAUAACGAGCGCAACCCUUAUUGAUAGUUACUAACAGUUUAAGCUGAGGACUCUAUCAAGACUGCCGUCGUAAGAUGUGAGGAAGGUGGGGAUGACGUCAAAUCAGCACGGCCCUUACGUCCGGGGCUACACACGUGUUACAAUGGGGGGUACAGAAGGUCGCUACCUGGCAACAGGAUGCUAAUCCCAAAAGCCUCUCACAGUUCGGAUUGGAGUCUGCUAACG
rnacentral:rRNA from 1 species